GCACAGCUGCGCCUGCGUACUGCGCGCGGGGAACUUUUUUGCGCUUCACCGUCCCCUCUGGUCUGAACUUGGAAGCGGCACGAGCUCUUUCUCACGCUGGCAGACCUGCGGAGCGCGCAGACGCGACCAUACGAUGGCCGGCACAAGGAUGGGGCGGGAGGACAGCUUUCUGGAUACGGCGUGGGGCGGGUCCGCAGCCCGGGAGACCUGGGCUGGAGCGGCCCUGUCACCCGUUUCGCUGCCAAGCACAGGGCUGAGGUGCGGAGGGACUACUGAGAGGACUUCAAUGCGAGUCAGUUCACCUGUGGACGGCGUGUGGAGGAGGUGGUUGGCGAAUAGUGAAAUAUACAUAACUUUGAGAAGGGAAGAGAUCGUUUCUUAACGAGAGCAGAGAUUUGAAGGCAGACGCGGUGGAGGCAUUCCCGCUGCCCGAAGUGCAGAAGACCAAUCAGAAUGCAAUGUAUCUUAAUACACGUGCAAGGAAAGACAGGAGAGGACAUUAAAAUUGGGACAGUUUAUGGAGACUUCAUGGCUGGGGGAAUCUGUACCUCGGGCACAGUGAGUCGUGGUUGAAGAAGCCUGCAGCUCAUCAUGUCAAGCGCAGGGUGUCAGGACUGUGGUUGAAGAUGAAGCAAGCAGCUCAGUGAAGUGUGCACAGCAAAGAAAUUAGGACACAGAUGCACAUAGUAGGAAGCCCAUGUGAAGACACAGGGAGAAGAUGGUCAUCUGCAAGCCCAGGAGAGAGGCCUCAGGAGAAACCACUCCUGCUGACACCUGGAUCUCGGACUUCCAGCCUGUAGAACUCUGAGAGAAUAAAUUUCUGUUGAUUAAGUCA